rnacentral:pre_miRNA from 1 species
GGAGCGCAGGAUCCUGGGCUGUGUCCCCUGGUGCCCUGGGCUCCGGGGCCUGCGCUGCUGGAAUCUGCUCCCGGCCACCGCUCC